GAGGGUUUGAUCCUGGCUCAGGACGAACGCUGGCGGCGUGCCUAAUACAUGCAAGUAGAACGCUGAAGGAGGAGCUUGCUUCUCCGGAUGAGUUGCGAACGGGUGAGUAACGCGUAGGUAACCUGCCUGGUAGCGGGGGAUAACUAUUGGAAACGAUAGCUAAUACCGCAUAACAGUAGAUAUUGCAUGAUAUCUGCUUGAAAGGUGCAAUUGCAUCACUACCAGAUGGACCUGCGUUGUAUUAGCUAGUUGGUGGGGUAACGGCUCACCAAGGCGACGAUACAUAGCCGACCUGAGAGGGUGAUCGGCCACACUGGGACUGAGACACGGCCCAGACUCCUACGGGAGGCAGCAGUAGGGAAUCUUCGGCAAUGGACGGAAGUCUGACCGAGCAACGCCGCGUGAGUGAAGAAGGUUUUCGGAUCGUAAAGCUCUGUUGUAAGAGAAGAACGAGUGUGAGAGUGGAAAGUUCACACUGUGACGGUAUCUUACCAGAAAGGGACGGCUAACUACGUGCCAGCAGCCGCGGUAAUACGUAGGUCCCGAGCGUUGUCCGGAUUUAUUGGGCGUAAAGCGAGCGCAGGCGGUUAGAUAAGUCUGAAGUUAAAGGCUGUGGCUUAACCAUAGUACGCUUUGGAAACUGUUUAACUUGAGUGCAAGAGGGGAGAGUGGAAUUCCAUGUGUAGCGGUGAAAUGCGUAGAUAUAUGGAGGAACACCGGUGGCGAAAGCGGCUCUCUGGCUUGUAACUGACGCUGAGGCUCGAAAGCG
rnacentral:rRNA from 1 species